UUAGCGAGAUGUAAAGUGCUCUUAUACACUCUCAGAGUAUCCUGUACUCCUGCCCUGCAGUUCCCACGCCUUCUCCUGUUUUCAUCCUCACCAAUGAGAAUUCAGCUAAUUGUUUACUCUGGGCCCGUGCCUGUCACCGACUAACCCAGGAGGCCCCUCAGAGCUGAGCCCUGCCCUUUGCCUCAUUCUUUGUAACCAGAUGCCUGCCACACACAGUAGGUGCUUCAUAAAUGCUACUGGAAUGGACCUGCAGGGAGCCUCAGAG
rnacentral:lncRNA from 13 species